CCCGCCCCCGCCGCAGGUGCUCCGGAGCAAUGGUGAGCCGCGCCCACAUGGUCUGGGAGGCGGGAUCGGCCGUCAUCCGCUAUAAAUUUUCGGGAGAGUUUAAAUUAAGCCAAAGACUUGGAUAUUAAGAAGACAUUUCACCUAUAGUUCCAGCUACUCGGGAGGCUGAGGCAGGAGAAUGGCGUGAACCCCGGAGGCGGAGCUUGCAGUGAGCAGAGAUCGCACCACUGCAUCCAGCCUGGCGACAGAGCGAGACUCCAUCUCAAAAAAAAAAAAAAAAAAAAAAAAAGAAGACAUUUUCUUGAAAAUGAACAAAGUGAAUCUCUUAUUCCGUGGAAAACCACUGGCAGUAUUUGUUACCAGUGUUAAAAUUUGAGCUUCCAAGCAACAACCAGGAUUUUAGAAAGCUUUUAGCUGCUAAUAUGAGCUCAACAACUUUUCAAAUACUUACAAGACUUUCCUGAUAAGAUUGGUAGUGAUAUCAAUUAAUGAGAUUUUUGAUAUUGGGUAAUGAGAUGUGGCAACAUUUGGAAAAUCUAAAUAGCUCAGAGAACCAAUAUGUUCCAAACGACCAAUGUCAUUUUGGUAUCUCCAAAGUAUGCAAAAAGAUCCAUUCAAAGUGUAUUAAAGAAAAGUUCAUUAACAAUGGUUUCACAUUCCACACUGCAACUAAUCUUUAAGCGACUACUACUUUUUUAUGGUAUCAAAGAAUAUCCAUGGUUACCUGAAAAGGCUGUUAAAGAUACAUCUGCCUUAGAAAAGAUUAGUGGUUAUCAAGAGUUAGAGAGGUGAGGAAGGAGAAAGGGAGGAAAGGAACAAGUAUAAAAACAGUAGCAUGAGAGACCUGUGGGAUGGAACUGUACUGUGUCUUGACUGUGAUGAUGGUUACAUAAAUCUGCAUAUGUGAUAAAAUCACAUAGAACUAAAUAUACACACACACACACACACACACGAAUGUAUGUAGGACUGGUGAAAUCUGAAUAAAGUCAUUGGAUUUUAUCAAUGUUGACUUCUUAGUUGUGAUAUUGUAUGGUAAUUAUGCAUGAUUAUUGCAUAAUUAUUGCAUAAUAAUUAUGCAUAAUUCCAUUGGAGAAAAUCAGGUGAAAGGUUUUAGGAUUCCUCUGUAUUAUUUCUUACAAUUGCAUGUAAAUCUACAACUCCAUCCAAACAAAAAGUUAAAAAAAUGCUUUGCCUUUUGCAAAUACAUAUCUUUAUGAGGCUAGAAUUUCUCCAUAUACUUCAGCCAGGACAAUAUAUUGCAACACGUUGAAUGCAGAAACAUAUAAGACAAUGCAGCUGUCUUCUAUUAACCCAGGCAUAAAAGAAAUUUAUAAACAUAUGAAACAAUACCAGUCAACUUACCUAUAUGUUUUAGUUUGGGGAAAAUGAAUUAUUUCUAAAAAUGUAUUUAAUGUUACCAUGUAAUGGAAUUAUUAAUGUUAUCUUUAAAAUAAAGCUAUAAAUAA
rnacentral:lncRNA from 10 species